GAUGAAGAACGUAGCGAAGUGCGAUAAGUAAUGCGAAUUGCAGAAUUCAGUGAAUCAUCGAAUCUUUGAACGCACAUUGCGCCCGCCAGUAUUCUGGCGGGCAUGCCUGUUCGAGCGUCAUUACAACCCUCAGGCCCCCGGGCCUGGCGUUGGGGAUCGGCGGAAGCCCCCUGCGGGCACAACGCCGUCCCCCAAAUACAGUGGCGGUCCCGCCGCAGCUUCCAUUGCGUAGUAGCUAACACCUCGCAACUGGAGAGCGGCGCGGCCACGCCGUAAAACACCCAACUUCUGAAUGUUGACCUCGAAUCAGGUAGGAAUACCCGCUGAACUUAAGCAUAUCAAUAAGCGGAGGA
rnacentral:misc_RNA from 1 species